rnacentral:sRNA from 2 species
UGACUCCCUCCGACGAGCAUCUGAGGCAGGAACGGGGGACCCAUGUUUCUCUGGGCGUCGCCUCCUCGGCGCCCUUGGGGCGAAGCCGGACACGCAUGAGGCGUUCGGCCGGGCUCCCAGCCCGAACCCGACAGCUCACCUCGCAGGCGUAGGGGAAGGACCA